AUUGAACGCUGGCGGCAGGCUUAACACAUGCAAGUCGAGCGGGGGAAGGUAGCUUGCUACCGGACCUAGCGGCGGACGGGUGAGUAAUGCUUAGGAAUCUGCCUAUUAGUGGGGGACAACAUCUCGAAAGGGAUGCUAAUACCGCAUACGUCCUACGGGAGAAAGCAGGGGAUCUUCGGACCUUGCGCUAAUAGAUGAGCCUAAGUCGGAUUAGCUAGUUGGUGGGGUAAAGGCCUACCAAGGCGACGAUCUGUAGCGGGUCUGAGAGGUUGAUCCGCCACACGGGGACUGAGACACGGCCCAGACUCCUACGGGAGGCAGCAGUGGGGAAUAUUGGACAAUGGGGGGAACCCUGAUCCAGCCAUGCCGCGUGUGUGAAGAAGGCCUUAUGGUUGUAAAGCACUUUAAGCGAGGAGGAGGCUACUCUAGUUAAUACCUAGGGAUAGUGGACGUUACUCGCAGAAUAAGCACCGGCUAACUCUGUGCCAGCAGCCGCAGUAA
rnacentral:rRNA from 1 species